AGUCAGUGAAACGGCAGAAUCAGAAGAGGUUCCACAACCAGAAAAUCUUGGCUGGAAUUUCACCAUCAGGAAUAAAACAGAAAAACUAAAGAGUGCCCCAGAUAGCCUUUCUUAGGGGCCUGUGUCAGGUCGCAGGAAUCUUGUUGGUGAUCCAUCCAGACGUUGUGUGUUCUGGAAGUGGACAUCGCGGCUCUGUGUUUUUGAAGUCAGAUUUCAUUGCUGUGGUUUCUAUGCCUGACCCCCGAAGUUCUUGCUCCUGUUGCCACAGGGAGCCGGGAGAGCACAGAGCGCUGCUCCCAGUGCCCUGCAGCCACACAAACAUGCUCCUGCUCCUGGCGGAGCCAGAGCUGCUGGGAAAGACAUUUCGGAAGUUUCCUGUGGCUGCAACAAAUUGUUCAAAUCUGCACUGGAGCACCGCUGUGACCUGUCUUUCUCCAUCUUAGGGCAACCAGCUCCUGAAACUGGAAACUCCCCAGCACCUCCUCACCCUACCCCACAGGCUCUCCUUGUGAGGAUGGGGUGGGGGGAGUUGUCUGGAAUGCCUGGCCUCUCUGUCCAAGCAUGGCAGCCUUGCCCCAUGGGUGGCGCAGACUCAGUUUCCCAUGCACCUUGCCCCAGGGAGGAGGUGGGGGCUCCUUCCAUAGAGAUGGUGAAGAAUAAGGGAGGUAGUGAUCGUCUCUGGGAUCCAGUUAGAUCUGCGUUUGCAGGCAGAAAGAGGCUGAGGCACAUGGAGAGAGUGAUCAACUGGAAGAUUCUAGGGUCCUCAAUUUUGAAAGGUGACAUGAUACCCUGGAAAGGGCAUGAACUUAGUUGUCAGUUCGUCCUUGCCUUUUCCAAUCAAUGCUGUGUGGCCACAGCAAAUUAAUGAACGUCUCUGAGUUUCGGUCUCCUGUCUAAAUGAGGUGAUAAUAGCUUCUUGAAGGUUGUGAGGCCCUGAACAUGCUGCCUGGCACAUAGAUGGCUAAUCAAUAUUUUCCUACCCUCCCCUUCCUUCCCUUCUCUGAAGUUGCUACCUCUCUCCUCCUGGGGUCUUGCAAAUAAACUUCUGAAUUAAA
rnacentral:lncRNA from 1 species